rnacentral:rRNA from 1 species
AAUAGAUACCCGGGUAGUCCACGCCGUAAACGAUGAGUGCUAAGUGUUAGGGGGUUUCCGCCCCUUAGUGCUGCAGCUAACGCAUUAAGCACUCCGCCUGGGGAGUACGGUCGCAAGACUGAAACUCAAAGGAAUUGACGGGGGCCCGCACAAGCGGUGGAGCAUGUGGUUUAAUUCGAAGCAACGCGAAGAACCUUACCAGGUCUUGACAUCCCAUUGACCGCUAUGGAGACAUAGCUUUCCCUUCGGGGACAGUGGUGACAGGUGGUGCAUGGUUGUCGUCAGCUCGUGUCGUGAGAUGUUGGGUUAAGUCCCGCAACGAGCGCAACCCUUGUUCUUAGUUGCCAUCAUUUAGUUGGGCACUCUAAGGAGACUGCCGGUGACAAACCGGAGGAAGUGGGGAUGACGUCAAAUCGAUCAUGCCCCUUAUGACCUGGGCUACACACGUGCUACAAUGGACGGUACAAACGGUUGCCAACCCGGCAGGGGGGAGCCUAAUCCGGAUAAAACCGUUCUCAGUUCCGGAUUGUAGGCUGCAACUCGCCUAC